CUCUCUGCCUACUUGUGAUCUCUGUCUGUCAAAUAAAUAAAUAAAAUCUUAAAAAAAUAACUAUAAAGUGUAUAAUAGGAUAGGUACUGUAAUUUUGAAACAAAAACAUGGAAUAUAGACAUAUUCAGUAUAUUUUGAGUUAUGAAUUAUAAGAGAUUUAAAAGAGGAAGAACAUGCAAUCAAUGUAUUAAAAUUUCACUAAGUAGUCAGACUAUAAGUAUUGAAAUUAUUUUUACUUUCUUAUAUUUCAUAAUUUUUUAAUCACGAGAUGCUGAACUUGAAUUGCAUUUAUAACAUGAGGAAAAGUUCUUGUGUUACAAGAAUCAUGUUGAGAUAUUCUACCUUAUCCCACUCUCCCCCAGAAAUUAAAGAAAGUUUUGCUUUGCAGCAGUUAGAGUAAAACAUACAGAAAUGCUGUCUAAAGAGUUUUCUUUUUUCCCAAAAGUUUAUUUAUUUAAGUAAUCUCUCUACCCAAGGGGGGCUUGAACUCAUGACCCUGAGAUCAAGAGUCACAUGCUCCUCCCACUGAGCCAGCCAGGCUCCCCUAAGGAGCAGGUUUCCACGCAAACAUAGAUUUACAAAUAUUCUUUUGGGUGUCUUUCUCAAAGAUUAUUUCAACAGCUAGUAGACUGUUAUAAAUUAGUACACAAACCAAUACUUCUAAAACCUAGUCUCUUAUACUCUCUAAAUAAAUCAAACUCUCUUUUUGUAAAACUGCUUACCAAAUGAUACCUGUCAUGCUUGUUUUAGCAACCAGUAAGGUCAUACGGUACGUACCAGCUGUAUGUAAGUGGGGUUAUAGAGGGAGAAUGUUGGGAAUGCACAGUGUCUUUUAUUCGGCCACUUCCAGCAGUCUGCCUGACCCUCUGCACCACGGAUACUUCACUUCUUUGCCCAAGCCCUCAGAUGCAUGUUUUGCAGAAAAAUGAGAAUGAAAACACUUGUAAAGAUAUUAAAGCUGUGCAGUCUUAAACUGCCAAUGGGAAGGUUACUCUGAUGGUAAAUGUAUUUGAUGGAGAAACUGUCCAGUCAUCAUAUCUGACCAGCAAAAGAGUAUUGCUAGGCAGAACAGGACAGACUGUUCGAAAUCAGGCUUGUCCUUUCUUUGAAUCUAUCAUGCGUGUUUGUGUGUAGGGGAAGGGAAAGCUGGUCAUUGUUUUGCACCUGUCUAUCAUCUAUUUACGAUCUUGGUUUGGUUUUGGAUAUUUCAAGGAGAAUAACAGUUAAAUUGGAAACUGGAAUGACAGCUGGGGGGUUUAAGGGGAAUGGAACUUGGGAAGAAAAAUGUGUGGCCAGGAGAAGUACAAUUAAUUAGAAGUAGAUUGAGCCGAGUUGCUUUUAUGCUUAGACUGUCUGGGGAGGAGGCCAUUGAAAUUUCAAAGUACAGAAUUCUGUUAGUUGUGGGGGAGGAGGGAGGUAGGAGGAGAGGGAAGAAGGUAGGGAGGUGGGCACCGUAGGGGUGGGAAUGACAAUGGAAAGUGAUUCUGGCUGUGGCAGCCAGGGCUGCCAACAGAGAAUUAGCAAAGAUAUCUUCAGAAAUAUCAGAAUAUCAGUCAGAAAGAAUUAUUUCUCAGAGCCGAAGAAUUUCUUGCUUAGAAGGUUACUUUUUCUCAAUCACUUAGCCAGUGAGUUGACUGGCCUAUAUUGAAAAAUAGUUAAGAACUUCGUAAAGAGGGAACUUUGUAAAGAAAGGAAAUCCUAACCAUACACCCCACACUUUCAUACUUGCAAGUUUUUUUUCCCACUCUCUUUCAAAGACCUAACGACAGCUAACCCAUGUGUCUGUGAGGGUUCUACCAGAGAAAUAGAACUAGCAAUAAAUAUUUAUAUAUGUCUAUAUUUAUAUAAAAAUGGAGGUUUAUGUAGAAGAAAGAUUUAUAUAUUUAUAUGUAUAUGAGGUAUGAAGUAGUGAUGUAUGUGUGUGUUCGUGUGUGUGUGUGUGCGUGUGUGUGUGUGUAUGGAAGUGUAUUUCAUGGAAUGGUUUAUGUGACGUGGGCUCUAUAAAAUCUGAAGUCAGUAGGACAGACUGGAAGGCUGGCAACUCUUGGGUAGGAACUGAAACUGAUGCUGCUGCUUUGCUUCUAAGGUCUUUCAACUGAUUAGAUGAGGCCCACCCAUGUUAUCAAGAGUAAUAUUUACUUAAAGUCAACUGAUUGUCUAUGUUAACCAUAUUUACAAAGUGCCUUCUCAGUUACAGAUUAGUGUUUGAUUGAAUAACUGAGCCCCAUGGGCUAGCCGAGUUGAUACAUGAAACUAACCAUCACAACAGAAGACUUCUCCAGACUUGAAAUUCUGAUUAUUAUUACUUUAGGGAACUUUAUUCCUUUAAGAUUUAGUGUUUCAAGGAAGAAAGAAAUUACUAAAAAAAAAAAAAAAAAAAAAAAAAAGAAACUAAUACUAAGAUGCAUUUCUUAGGUUCUAUUUCAAAAGAGACUUUUCUAAUUCUGUUCUAAUUCCUUUGCAAAUCUAAGUUAUCAUAGCUCUAAGUGAGGUUGAGAAUUAAAAAAAAAUAAUGAAACAUACUAAAUGUGUCAGUGGACCAGAAAAGAGAUAAUUAAAUCAUCUGAUUUUCCCUUAUCUUGUGUCAAACUAAAAAUAAUCUGGGGCCAAUGGGAGAAAUUUGACACAGCAACACAAUAAACACGAUUCUGAUUUUAUAAAA